AUGCAAAAUAACGUAUCAUCAAAAAAUUCGAAAUUGGGUUUUUUAUUGAUUACGAUUCAACACAUCAUAUUACAUAAGUGUCAAAAAUUUUAGGCUUCUGCGACCCAAAAUACCCAAGUUAUAUUAAAAAUUCAAAAAAACGUAUCAACAAGUGCAUGCUUUCCUUAAACAAAAUAACGUAUCAUCACUAAUGUAAAAAUAACAGAGUAUUUUUUUUUUUUUUUUAUAACGGAGUUAGCCUUGAUUUAUUGUUAUGUUUGUUUCUAUUAGUUAUGUUUAAUGUGCUUUGGUGAUAUAAUUUAAAUCGUUUUUAUACUGAAAGUUAUAAAACAGUUCAACUAAUGAAAGACGCACGAAAAAAUCCAUAUCCACUAGUGGUUCAUCACCUACAACACAGUUAUUUCCUGGAUUAUGAAAAUCUUCCAAAGCGGUAUUCAUCUAUUCGACCAGGUAAUAAAGUUGGAGAUCCUACAGUAAAUAUGAUUCGUGCUUUGGCAUAUGAUACAACGGGAUCCAUAUAUUACAAAACCUGUUUUAAGGACGAGUAUCAGCUUCUUCCAAAAAGGACUACCAGAAAUUUUGAAAUUCAGCAGCCUAAUCUUUUGCACCCGCAAAGGUUAACGAUAUCCAAGAAGAAAUGGCAACAUCUGCAGGACCUAAAGGCUUUGAUUCCAGCAGACUGUCAUUACUUUUAUGAUAAUAUACCUUUUGAAUAAUUAAUUGUUUAAUAAACAAUUAUUAAACAUUGUUCUCAUUUUGACUUGAAAUAUUUUAAUUUUUUUUAGUACUUAUGUACAUAUUAAUAAUAAAAAUAACAUGAAAUAUGGAAAA